UGUCCCAAAUGGACGAUGACGGAGCUGCGCUUAGCGAUUUCGAGGACGACGAUCUGGAGGCCGCGCCGGUAGUGGUGCCGUCGAGAUCUCAGGCGGCCGAUCCGGCGGAGGAUGGCGAUGCGAGGUAUGUGCUCCUCAAGAAGGAGCUGGAUCGGCAUCUGGAGGGCGAGAAUGAGCUGAGGAAAGCCCUGGCGGAUUCCUCCGAGAGGCUGGAACAGGUAGUGAAGCAGCGGGACGAUGCACAGAGGCAGUUGGAAAAUAUUUCGAGGCAGAGGGAAGAUGCGAGCAAGGCCAGGACGGAGAUCGAGACGUCGGCUAAGCUGUUGAUCGCUGGGGCGGAGAAGCUCACGGGUCUGGUCGGAGACAACAAGGGAUUUACGGGAGGAUUUCCAAGAUCGUCCAAGUACACCGGCCUCGCAGCGAUCUGCCAUGGGUUUUGCAAGAGGACCGAGGAGCUCAUGGAGGAGGUUUUGAAGCAGCGUGACGCUGCCAUCAAGAGCAGGAACGAAGCUCGGAGCCAGAUGGAGCAGAGGAACUACCAGAUUGCUAUCGAGGUUUCCCAGCUUGAGGCUUCGGUGGUUCGAUCAAAGGAGGAGCUGGAGAGGAGAAGUUCGGAGUGGGAGAAGCUAUCGACGGAGAAGCUGGGCGUGCAACGCGAGCUGGAAGAAAAGCUUGCGGCGACGUCCAGGGAGGUGGAGAACUUGAAAAAGAAAUGUGAGAGCACGGAGGCUGGAGCUAGAUCUUUGGAGAGCGACUUGGAUGACUUGAGGAAGAAGCUCGUGGAGCAGAUGAGAGGCUACCUUGCAACCGAGGAAUCCGUCGUGAAUUUUCUGCAGAAGAUCGAGGGAAAGGCUGUGAAGGCUGUUCCCGAGCUACCAUUUUCGAACUUCAGCGACGCGGAAAGAGUUCACAAAGAAUAUUUGAGACGAGUCCAGUCUAUUUCUGAUACGUUGGCUCACAUGAAGAACAGCUGGGAGGAGAAGGAAGAGCUAAGACUGAAAGAGAAAGCUGACGUUGAGACUGAACUACAGCGUUUGUCGCAGCGGGAGAAGGACAUGGUUUCUUUCUUGAAAAACUCGUUGUUUGAGAGGAAAGACACGGGCGAGGAAGUAGACAUGCCAACUCUGGCCAAUGUCAUGGACAGUGAGCUGAGGAGCACGAGGUUGAAGGUUUUGGAUUCAGAAAGACAACUAGCAGACGCGAGCAUGGAGAUUGAGAAGAUGAAGAAACUUUCAUCGUUGCAAGCAAAAGAUUUGGCAGCAAAGACGGCACGCGUUCAAGAACUUGAACUGAGAUAUGGAAUUGUUUCGGAAAAUGUCGAGGGGCUUACCGCGGAGAUUGCUGCCGCAGAAGAAGAGUUAUUGCGAUGGAAGAAAGCGGCUACAGAGGAGGCAGCUGCUGGCGUAGCAAUCCUGGAGGAAGUCGAAAAGUGCAAUCAAGAGAUUACAACGCUGAACCAGCUGGUGGUUCAUCUCAGACAGUCGCUAGAAGAGGCGAAUAGCAAGCUUCAAUCAAAAGAAGAGAUGGCAGCAGCCGCAAUAGCUGCCCGUAACGCUGCUGACAGGUCACUAAAGAUUGCCGACGAAAGAGCAGCGGAGCUUAGGGAGCGCCUCGAAGAGAUGUCACGGCAGCUGGAGGACGUAGAAGCUCAAGUGGAGAGGAGUAGAAUCUGCGGGGGAAAGCUUCUGGAGGUGUUUCCAUGGCUGCAGGGAAGAAUCAGUAGUUACAGGGCUAAUCUCAGGCAGGCGACUGUUCCUUCGGCUGAGAUGGAAGAGCUCACGGAACCUUUGGUGUAAAUAUACGUUCUCCAGCUUCAGUAGUCCGGAAAGCCUACACGAACAAGUACAAGAUGAGAUAGAGGACGGAAAACCGAGCAGCAAAUCCUCUUACCUUGGCUCUCUUCACCUUCGAGCAGCUUGAUCACGAGGCUUCCAGACGGGUGAAAGCCAAGCGCCAGUUCUAGAGCUCGAGAGCCAAGCUCGGCGGAAAGCGUCGCGUCUUUGAAGCCAAUGCCUGAGACACUGGGACACAUGUCGGAGAGAAUGACAUUAUAUGCUUUCUGCGAACACAACCAGUGUCUCGGGUUUGAUCUUCAUCACGUCUGCGGCAAUGGCUUUCACCCGGUGAUCAGUGUGGUCUCCUGGAACAUUGAUUUUCUAAACGAAGGUAGACGCAAAUUUCAAAGUAGAAAACGGAAAGAGCUUACUUUGGUGUCGACACCAACAACGACUCCACCUUGGUCGCGUGUUCCCAAGUUCUGGCAAGCCACCUGAAAGAACCAGUGUAA